GCAAGUCUGAGGGAUCCACUCCCUGCUCUCGUUUUAUCCAAUACUCACCGCUAGGGAAGGGAUGUGGAACCCCAGCACAUCUGCAAAGAGAAGGACAUGGGGACAGAUAUAUGCCCCACCCACCUACCUGGGCCAGGUGUACUCCUUGACAGCCAGUCCAUAGUGAGUACACAUCCAAACCCCAAACUGGGCCAAUCAGAACGAAGGGAGAGAGCAGCAGAGCAACCAAUGGCAAAGUGGGAAUGGCUUCCUAAGGCUGUGCUGCCUGACUGCUGUACCUGAAGCUGGUUAAACCCAGGAAAUCGCAGAGUAGUGAGAUCACCUGCUUCUUUUGGACCCAGAGGAAAGAGGCACAGGUGUGUCCUCACCUGCUUUCUUGUGGGGUACCUGAACUCCUCAGGAGCUUGAAGUCACUAUGCGGGCCAAGGAUGAUGAAUAUGAUUACCUCUUCAAGAUUGUCCUCAUCGGAGACUCGGGAGUAGGGAAAAGCAACCUCCUUUCUCGGUUCACCCGGAAUGAGUUCAACCUGGAGAGCAAAAGCACCAUUGGGGUGGAAUUUGCCACACGAAGCAUCCAAGUGGAUAACAAGACAGUGAAGGCCCAGAUCUGGGAUACCGCCGGGCAGGAGCGUUACCGUGCCAUUACUUCUGCUUACUACCGGGGGGCAGUUGGGGCACUUCUUGUUUAUGACAUCGCCAAGUACCUGACCUAUGAGAACGCAGAGCGCUGGCUCAAGGAGCUGCAGGACCACGCUGAUGCCAACAUCGUCAUCAUGCUGGUGGGCAACAAGAGCGACUUGCGGCAUCUGCGGGCAGUGCCCACCGAUGAGGCCAAGAGCUUUGCAGAAAAGAAUGGCUUGUCAUUCAUAGAGACAUCAGCUCUGGAUUCCACCAAUGUGGAGACGGCCUUUCACAACAUCCUAACAGAAAUCUACCGGAUCGUAUCCCAGAGGCAGAUUGCUGGUGGGCAGCCGGAGACGGAGUUCAGUGCCAGCAGCACCAUCGAGCCGAUCAAGGUCCUGCCUACCCACCAGGAGGGCCGGCAAACCCCUUGCUGCCAGAACAUCUAACCUGCAAAGACUGCAACGAGGAAGUGAAAGGGGAACAAGGAAGGCCAAAUAGUCUCCGGUACCUCCAAGGGGGAAAGUGAUGCUCCAGGCAAAUUCCUCUUUUUCUUCUUCUGGUACCCAACGUCCACCGUGCUACUCUGCUUCAUGUAGGUCAGAAACACAUAACGGAUCGUGUUCGUCUCUAGAUGUGGGGAAACGUUAGUGUCAAUGGGUGCUUUUCGGACCACCUGAGAGACACCCCAUCCCAAUUCCACAGCCUUCUUCCCUGAGAGGUGGCUGCUGGCAUGAGGAAGUUGGUGGGUCGCAGGGAUGGCGCUUCCCACACCAAUGGCCCUUUGAAUUUCUUGCCGAAACUAUUUUCCUGACUAGCAUAUAUUACACGGUUUAAGUAGAGCCUUUUGCUAACAUAGGGGGUCAUGGCAUUCAACGCUAUAUGUCUGGAAUGAAAUUGAUUGAGCUGGUUGGGCAGCCCACUUCUAAACCAAAGAUAGAGUGGACUCACUAUCAUGGCUUCAUGGGCUGUGGUUUUCAGGGGGUUUUUAAGUUGCUGAAUGUUAAAUAAAAACAACAACUCCUUUGCUCCCUCCUAAUUACAACUCCUCUUUGAGGGAAGUCAUGGUGAAUUAAGCCUGGUCCCCCCCCAAGUUGGUUCUGUCAUACAGACAUGCCCUCCCCACCCAAAAAAUUUGGGGGGCUCCGCUGAGGUACAAAAGCCAGGCUGUUGAGUAAGCCUCAGCCUGUGUAAAGAAGCCCAGAAAUUGAGGCAAGGCCCAAGGCCGGCCCGCUUAGAAGAAAGUGAACUUUAGCCGUCCUGUGGCUUGGCAGCAAAAUGGCUUUGUAUCAACAAGCAAAUAGGAGUUGCUUCUGAGUGGUGACUGUUCUGGGCAUGCCAGAUGGCUUUAAAGCACAACUCGCCAGUCAGGUUGCAUUUGUGAGGGCGUCUGUCACCUCCACCUUCACCAUAGCAGCAGAAAAGCCUCCCGGCCUGGUAUGAUCACACCCUAUGUUGGCUCAGUGCAUUGGGUGACAGCUUCCUGCAGAUUUUAAUCCAGCAAAUUGGUAUAUUUCCCUGCUGCCCCUUGUGCUGUUUUAAAGACCCAGGUUCCCAUUAGCUUCAUGCCCCCCGAGGCCUCGCC